CAUCCCAGAGAGGGAAGCACAGCGGGAAUGGUUCCCUAAUCCAAGCGUGACAUUGGUGGUACAGGCCUACCUGGGGGAAUCAGGUUGCGAACUCCAGUCUGAAACACUGGCAGAAGCACUGGCUAACUCCAUCCAAGGGACAAUAGUCCUGGGUAGGGGACUGGUAAGCAAGAGCAGAGGACAGAGGACUCAGUGUCCACCCUCCCACCUGGCCAUCACCGGGAGCACAACAAGCAAUGCACAGAAGGUCCCAGUUGCUGAUAAUAUAAUAUGGGCUGUUUAAACAUUCAACACUCAACCCUGCCAUGGUGCCGCCGCCGCCCCCGAGGCCCCCAACCCUGGGAGCCUCCUUGUAGCACACCUCAUUAUGAAACAGGAAAGAAAUUCAUCUUUCCAAAGCCUGAAGAAAUUCUGGCAGAUGUCUCCUGAAGUUGCAGCCUGCAGCAGGCCCGGGGACCACUCCUCGCAGACAAGAGGAUCAGGAAUAUCCGCUGGCAUCGACACUGAGCCUCAUGGCAUGCAAAGCAAGUUCACAAACACUGUCUCACUCGACCCUCAUAAUGGCCCAGUGAGGACAGGAGCAUCAACUCCAUUCCAUACGUGAGGAAAAACAGGGGAGCUUUUAAUGAGGAACUAAAAUGACUUUCUAAAAGUCACAAAGUGAUUGAGUGACAGGGCCAGGCCUCAAACCCAGCUUUGUCAAUAUCUGAUUCCCACAUUCCCUCUCUGCUGCACGCAUGCCCCUUGUGCCUCGGGAUGGGAAGUCUCCUGGCUCUAUUUAUACUCCAAAAAGUCAAGUGAGUCAGGCAUGACCGUGAGUGACAUUCACUUCUCAACUGAAACCCAAACUCUGAAGGCUGAAACACGAGGCAAAAUCCCCGCUUGAAAUGUUCUACUGAUCUGCAGUCAGAGGCUGUUCUGAAGCACAGCACGUGUCUGCGUAUCUGAAAUCAGAUGUCUGGCCCGGGACGCGUUCCAGAGAAUCUCACUCUCUGGCUAAAGAGAAGCUCUUUCCUUCCACUUAGAUUCAAGGAGUGUUUCGCUGAGGAGUGAAGGGCGCACACAGAAGCCACAGGCUGCUCAAGAUGAGGGCACUUUGUAGAGUCAGGGAAUAGUGCAGAGAAAGAAAUUGGACAGACUUCCUUCCCCGGCACAGAAACCAGGGCAGUGGUUCUCAGAGUGGGGCCCCAGGCUGGCUGCAUCCCAUCCCCAGGGAACCUGUCAGAAAUAACAGGUGCCCAGGCCCCACACCAGGAGUACUAAAUCAGAAACUCUGGGGGUGGGGCCCCGGCAUGUGUAUUUUAGCAAGGCCUCCAGCUGAUUCUGGUGCCUGCUCAGGUCUGGGGAUGUCUGCCCUGAAAGAAGAUGCCCCCAGAAGAAAGAGAUGAGUAUGCCAGGCUUUCCCAUAGUCAGGAAUACGGCUGUGCUCACCAAACAGUAGAUUGCAUCACCAUUUCCUCAUCCACUCCACCCCUACCCAUGCACCAUGGAAGAAUGUCGUUCCUGCACCUGCUUUUAUUGGGCUUGGCCACAGGAAUGGCUUUGGCUAAUGGACUUGGGAGCAAGGGUGACAGGAUGCCACAUGCAGCAGGGAUUCUCAUCGUGCCUACAUGGAUUGCCUUAGGCUUAUAAGCCUCUGCCAUGCUCCAUGACCAUCUGUCCCAGACUGUGGGUGCUUCUUCAGCCCAGGUCCUAGAACAAAAAGAUACAUGGAGCAGUCCUAAACUCUACCAAAGCCAUAGCCAACCCGCAGACCCAUGAGCAGGGGGAAAAGAAGUCUGCUGUUCCACAGUCACUAAGUUUGGAGAUUGUUUCUUAGAUAGCAUGAUCGCAGCAAAAGCUAACUAAUGCAAACCAUUUGAUUUUCUAGCAAAGGAAAUCAUGGCCCCAGAAGGCUGAGGAAUGAGAACAUCCUGCAGAGGCAUUCAGGCUGGAAGAUCAAAAAAAAAAAAAAAAAAAAUCAGAGCCAACCUCUAGCCCCACCUAUGGAGAUGUGAAUCUCAGAAUCAACCUUUCUCCUCAAUAUCCUCCAACAUCCUCCAAAAUGGACACUUUUGUCCUUGUCUAAAUGAUGCCAACCAAUAAAAACUUAAGUUUAAUAAAGUAAUAAUUUAAAGUACCUUCUAGAAUGAGCAAGCAUUCUAGAGGAUAAGACCCUCUUUCCUCCGUGGCUCAGAAAGGACAGAGGUCAAGGAACUGGGCAAGGGGGCAGAGGACACACCCCCGCCCCUUUCCCUGGUCUCAGGUAAUGUACCUGGAGAAUUUGGUGCUUCUUCCCCCAGAGACAGACUGAGCUUUCUGCCUCUGAAGUCACCCCCACAGCCCAGCCACCGUGUGAGCUGCACUCUGGCCAACACCCAUCACACUGACGAAUGCCUGACCUGUCACCACUAAUGGAUACGUGGUAGCAAUUGGUGGCCACGUAUCUCCGAAGCUCUAAAGUAUAACACACCAAAAAUAAAGCUGAGAGCAGGGGAAGAAAGAAGAAGCUGCCUUUUAAACAAACCCCAAGCCCCAGCUUCACUGCUCUUCACACAGCAGUAUGAUUUGCGCGGCCGAGUCAUCAUCACCCAUUCCCUGUCCCCAAGUAGUGUGGGAAGUACCCUGUCUGUGGCAGUCUGUUGGUUCAGCACAUUUGCUGCAUAAUAAACUGCAAUUUUAGUCCCUGCUUCUGAUUUGGGAGAUCUUCUCACCACAACCAGGAAUGACCCAACUUUGAGUUUGUAAAACAUGUUGAGACAAAGGUGGACAGUGAAGGUAGUUUCUCAUUUAAAGACUGAGUUUCUAGAAAACACUAGAAAGUGCAGGGGGGUACUUUCCCAAAAUAAAGUUCCCCUGAUGUACCCACCCGCCAAGGCUUUCAAAGUAGCUGGCUGGGAGACCCAGCAUUAAGCCAUCAAGUUUAAAAGCUUCAACUUCGUGUGACAGCCUCCAUGCUGUUUUGAAGCUGUCUGAUUGUGUUCACUGCCACUGUCUUGGGUCAAUUAAUGAGACCUCAGUGUCGCACGCUAUCAUAUGCAACACGGUAUGUGCAACUUGCCCACGAACUGAUCAGCCAAACCAGGUAAUCAAUGAAAAUCAAUCCAUUUACCGUACAUAGUUGAAGAACUGCAAGAUCUGGGACAUUACCUUGUCUUAGGGGAUGUGGUUAGCCAUUCCUCGUGUUUCUCAAAUGUUAUUAAAUAAGCUGCAAUUUCCUGAAACAGAAGAAUAAAAAAAUAAUAAUAACAAUUAGCUCACAUCAGCUCCUGAGACGCAAGAAACUUCUUGUUGCUUCCCAGCUGCUGCCUCCCUGGUGAGGCUGGACCCCCAUCUCUGCCAGAAAGCACCGGACUUGGAUGGUGCCUCUAUUUUGAUUUUGUUAAGCUCUUUCCAUUCAGCCUGCCAUACAAUCAUCAUCAAAGCGCUGGAUUUCAAAAGAUGAGUCAGUGGCAAGGACAAAGAUAUUUCUCUGUGGGAAGAAAACACCAGACACAAUUUCAGAUACUAAAUGUCAUUAAUUUGAAGGAGGGACAAACAGAUGCCAACAACAGGUCUGCACCUGUGCAAGGUUGUCAUUGGAAAAGUUUUGUCUGUCUUCUUCUGAAGCUGGACUCAUCUUUCAUCAUUUUCACAAGAGACGUCACAUUCCCUCGGCUUGACUCCCACCCCCCCGAGCCAAAUCAUGCAAAGAUUAAAAAGAAAAGAUAAAGCCAUACUCCAGAGCGAGAGAGAGAGAGAGAGAGAGAGAGAGAGAGAGAGAGAGAAGUUAACCUUUCCCUCUACUGAUAACUUAAUCUAUUGAGCGGUGCUUCAGAAACAAGAGCAAUGUCAGCAGAGUUUAAGGCAAAGAUGGAGGAAAUGUGGGCACCUGAAGGUAAAUUAAAUAUUUAUAAACACAACAACAUCACUGCAGAUAGAAUUACUGAUUUAUUAAUAAUUUCCAUAAAAAGCCAGUGGGCGACAUCAACAUAAGUCAUUGCUCCAGCUCUGGGGCAUGAUAUGGCCCAUUACCUCCAGCUCCAAACGGAUCUGCUAACAUGAAAUUGGCACGGAUUGGGACUUAAAUUAAGGUUGGACUCGUACACAUUUCCCUUGAUCUUGGUGAUGAUACAACAUAAAGCUGCUGCCCUUGACCAUCAAAACAUGCAGAGAGGGGGCCUCUGUCUCAAUUCUCUCUGCAGCGGGGGUUUCCAGAGGGCUUAUGGUGAUGCAGCAGCCCAUCUGCCUAGAGGCUCAAAGCCUUCCUCUGCAGUGAGCCUCCUCUGGGCCUGGACAUAACGGGAGGUGACACCUUUGACCAGAGGCACUAAACCUGCCCUUGAAGAAAAAGAAGAGACGCUUCCCAAAAUCAGGUUAGCAGAGCAGGUGAAAGUAGAAAAUGCCAUCCACACCAUGCAGUCUGAAGGCCACAGACUCAAGUAGAGAUCAGGAUCUCCUAUAAUCAGCCACUACCACCAGGCAGCCAGUGACCGGUGACCCAGAGCCCAUGCUGCCUCAUUCUGGAAGCCCAGAUCUUUCACAAAGAACCUGGCAAGCAGAAACUUGUGGCCAAAAUAGAGCUCCCUCAUUGCAGAGAUUCCUGUCACCAAGUGCAGCUAAAGAAGCAGAUCGACCAGCACACUAUUCUCUCUCAUUUCUGAAGCUGUUAUAUUCCAUAUUCUAUUUCUUCUCCUUAGAAAACACCUUCCCUGAGGUCUUGCCAUAGACACACACCACCUCCCUAACUAUCCACAGUGGUGGGGGGGGUCGCCUGCCCAUGCUGUGUGCUCCCAUGGCACCGCACCAUCCUCCAUUGUGUAUGAUUUAUCACUUUGCAACCUAAUUGCUUGUUUACUUGGUAGCAUCCCCCCACUGGAUCAUGAGCUCCUCGAAGGCAAGGAAUAUGUCAUCACUGAUAUAUCCCCAGGACCUAACAGCAUCCUGACAGGCGUUUGUUAGGCAGAUGGAUGGACGGGUGGGUAGAUGGGAGGGAAGGAGAAAGAGUUGGGGUGAGAGAAACAAAUAUGCAGGUAGAAGUGAGUCUGUGUGUCUGUGUGCAUGUGUCCUGAGUGUGUUGUGUCUUUGUAUAGGUUUAUUUUUAGGUGAGGUAUAGCUUAAAAGCAGCAAAAUGCAGCAGUUCCUAAAUAAACCAUUACCAGUGCUUUAAUUAACUCCAAGCCACUGUAGCAAGGUAAUGUAGUAUCACAGUUAAGAGCACAUGCUUCAGAAGCAAACAGACUUGGCUUUGGGUGCUGGCUCUGCCACUUGUUAGCUGUCUGAUCUUAAGCACAUUGCUUACUGUGUAGAAACCUUGGUUUUCUAUGAAACUGAGAUAACACCACCUCAUGGGGCACUUACAGGGAGCAACAAUUCUUAGGACAAUGACUGGCACAUAGCAAUGCCCACAACCACAGCUACCACUAUUCUCAUUUUGAGGUCCACGUGAUGUGAGCUGCCUGUCUGGAGGCCCCUGAUGACAUAGCAGGGACCAAACUGGUGCAGCUCAGAAGCUGCCACCACUGCUGGACUUAACUCCAUCUAUCCCCACCUUCCAUCCCUUUCUACCCUCUAUGCUCACAAUGAAUGGUAACAUCACAGUGGCUGUUCAGAGUUAGUUGGAGUUGAUUCUUCCAUGUAUCUAUUGAUGCCCAUUUGGCUUCACAAAACACUGACAGCAGGCUGUGGCUGGAGUCAGUGAGUGGAUAAAUUGAGCCACUUAUGUAUAUCAACCCAUCUACCUGAAUUUCAGAAGUCUUGGCAUCCAGAAAAUAGGCUGUGCCAACUAGAACCCCUUGGAUCCAUAUCCUUACCUUGGAUUAUGCCACAAGCUAAGUGACCCCUCCUGGCCCAGAAUGAUGGGGGCACAGUACAUCCCAGCCACCUCCAGAUUAAUCACAGCAUUCUGAAGACCCAAACACCCAAAGAAGACCUUCAUGAACAUCCCUCGGCCAGUGCUUACCCCAACCCAGCAGGUACCCCUGCCACUACUGCCUUUCAAAUAAAUAAACCCCCUGGACCACUUAUUGCCUUCACUAUUUACUCUAAAAAUAUUUUUUGAGUACCUAUUUUGUGCCAGUCAGUGAACAAGACCACUGCUCUUAAAGGACUCAUGGUCAAGUAGGCAA